rnacentral:rRNA from 1 species
CCUUAUUAAGCACCAAGGAGCAGGUAUCAGGCACAACUGUUUAGCCCAAAACACCUUGCUACGCCACACCCACACGGGCACCCAGCAGUGAUAAAUAUUAAGCAAUGAGUGAAAGCCAACCUUAGCUCGACUUAGUUAUGAUCAUUAGGGCCGGUAAACCUCGUGCCAGCCACCGCGGUUAUACGAGGGGCCCAAAACAACAGAUAUCGGCGUAAAUUGUGGCUAGAGUACCUCUUGUAACGCUGAAAAAUGAACGAAAGUCUAAUCGUAAAACCUAGACCAAAAGAAACACAUACUUUCAGCUUUAAAGCAACUUGAACCCACGAAGACUGAGAAACAAACUAGGAUUAGAUACCCUACUAUGCUUAGUUGUUAAUAUGACACCAAAAUACACCACUGUCCGCCAGAGAAUUACACGCGAAAAGCUUAAAACUCAAAGGACUUGGCGGUGCUCCGUAUUCGUCUUAGAGGAGCCUGUCCUAUAAUCGAUAACCCACGCUUUACCUUACCAUCUUUUGCUAAACAGCCUAUAUACCGCCGUCGCAAACUUACCCCAUGAGGGUACAAUAGUAAGUAAAAUAGUAGCACACUAACACGUCAGGUCAAGGUGUAGCUAACAAGAUGGAAGAGAUGGGCUACAUUUUCUAAAACAGAACACAC